AGCUGUAAUACGACAAAACCAUCAAAGAGAAAUUAUGUGCAAGUGUAUAACUGAGGGACCUUAACAUGUCAUAUAAAAAAGUAAUUGCAACACUCAAUUUCGAGAUGGAAGCAGUAUAUAAUGUAGAAGUAAAUAAGCGUAAAGAAAAAACAAACCCAAAAAACAGAAGGUGAUGAUAACGAUGAUGCAGGAGAAGGAAUCAUCGCUGAUAGUCCAAGUAAAGGCCUCAUUCUCGGUUGAUGGAAGUUGUGCCUGACUUUGUUCUUCCUGUCGAACCUGUGAUACUGAAGCCGAUACGGAUGCAGCACCGUAAAAUUCCCCGUUCCUUGAUUCCUCCGCAGAAAUUGUAGUAGAAGAAGAAUCAGGCUGUGAUUGAGGUUGAUUUGGUUCUUCCAUUCUGAUCACAAGGGGACAGAGAUAGAGAUCAGAGAGAGAGAAAAAAGGAAUUGAAAAAAAUACCUAGCAAUAGUUCUGAAUGUGUAAUGUAUUACCUUUGUUAAUAAAUUGAGAAACAAUCUCCAUUGAUGGCAACUGAAUUUCUCUCCACCUAUCAGUCGUUUCGAUCUUCUAUCGGAUUUAGGACUGGUGGUUGCUCUCUUUUUGGCAAAGUGAUGUUUGUUCAAGGGGCAAUCACUUAUUUUAAAAUAACUUAAAAUUAAAAUAAUUUAUAAAUUAUUUUAAGUUAUAAUUUGUAAAUAAUUGUACUUAAUGUUGUUUUUAUUUAUAAAUUAGAAAUUAAGUUAAAAUAA
rnacentral:lncRNA from 1 species